rnacentral:rRNA from 1 species
UUGCAUAUCAAUAAGCGGAGGAAAAGAAACCAACCGGGAUUGCCUUAGUAACGGCGAGUGAAGCGGCAAAAGCUCAAAUUUGAAAUCUGGUACCUUCGGUGCCCGAGUUGUAAUUUGGAGAGGGCAACUUUGGGGCCGUUCCUUGUCUAUGUUCCUUGGAACAGGACGUCAUAGAGGGUGAGAAUCCCGUGUGGCGAGGAGUGCGGUUCUUUGUAAAGUGCCUUCGAAGAGUCGAGUUGUUUGGGAAUGCAGCUCUAAGUGGGUGGUAAAUUCCAUCUAAAGCUAAAUAUUGGCGAGAGACCGAUAGCGAACAAGUACAGUGAUGGAAAGAUGAAAAGAACUUUGAAAAGAGAGUGAAAAAGUACGUGAAAUUGUUGAAAGGGAAGGGCAUUUGAUCAGACAUGGUGUUUUGUGCCCUCUGCUCCUUGUGGGUAGGGGAAUCUCGCAUUUCACUGGGCCAGCAUCAGUUUUGGUGGCAGGAUAAAUCCAUAGGAAUGUAGCUUGCCUCGGUAAGUAUUAUAGCCUGUGGGAAUACUGCCAGCUGGGACUGAGGACUGCGACGUAAGUCAAGGAUGCUGGCAUAAUGGUUAUAUGCCGCCCGUCUUGAACCACGGACCAAA